rnacentral:rRNA from 1 species
CUGCAUGGCUGUCGUCAGCUCGUGUCGUGAGAUGUCGGUUAAGUCCGCUAACGAGCGCAACCCUCGCUGUGUGUUAUAUGUGUCACACGGGACUGCCGGUCUUAAGCCGGAGGAAGGUGGGGAUGAUGUCAAGUCAGCAUGGCCUUUAUAUCCUGGGCUACACACACGCUACAAUGGCCAACACAAUAGGUUGCUAAGCCGCGAGGUGGCGCCAAUCCAUAAAGUUGGUCUCAGUUCAGAUUGUAGGCUGCAACCCGCCUGCAUGAAGAUGGAGUUGCUAGUAACCGCAGGUCAGCUAUACUGCGGUGAAUACGUUCCCGGGGCUU